rnacentral:miRNA from 11 species
AGGAGAUUGGUUAAAUUUAUGA